UACGGAGGGUGCAAGCGUUGUCCGGAAUCACUGGGCGUAAAGGGCGCGUAGGCGGCUUAGUUAGUCAGGCGUGAAAUUCCUGGGCUCAACCUGGGGACUGCGCUUGAUACGGCUAGGCUAGAGGAUGGAAGAGGGUCGCGGAAUUCCCAGUGUAGAGGUGAAAUUCGUAGAUAUUGGGAAGAACACCGGUGGCGAAGGCGGCGACCUGGUCCAUUACUGACGCUGAGGCGCGACAGCGUGGGGAGCAAACAGG
rnacentral:rRNA from 1 species